UUUAUAUUAUUAUUUCUAUAAUAAUUAUCCCCAUAUCUCAUAAAGUUCUUCAGAAGGUGGAUCAUUCUCUCUCAUCAUUUCACCAAGACAAGAAGCUCUUCGUCUUUGCCCUAAUUUUAAUCAUUGAUUUAGGGUUUGGUUGGAUUCAAUGGGACAACAGCAAUCCAAGGACGAGUUGCUUCAUCAGCAAGUCGUUUAUGGCAACGUUGAAGGGAUCAAGCACUUUCCAGAGAAGGCGCGGGCCUUGAGGUAUUGCUGAAAUUAUUGCCUCUUUGUUUGGUCACUGAGAUGGCUUUGGAAAAUGAUGGAAAAUCUUUUGUGUUGUGUUUUAAGCCCAGUUGAUUGUAGGGUGUUUUCCCCGCUAGUUUUUGGUUUGCUUCUCGGCAACCAUUGUGGUUGAUUGAGUCUAUUUCGAUGGGGUUAAGGGCUUGUUUGGGUUUUUUCUCAACGACCAGACUGGUUCCGGUUCCAGGAUUAUAUAAAGAUGUUUUCUGUUUCCUAUUUUCUGUUCUAGAAACGUAAAAUGACUUCUGAAAAACGUGCUUUUGGGAAACCAAACAAAACAGGUCAUGGGUUUCUAACUAUGAUGGUUUUGGUGCAGUGGACCGACAGAGAAGGAAAGACUCCAUUGAUUGUGGCGUGCAUGUUUUCUAAACUUUUUAAUAUGUAUUUGUGUGAGAAUGACAGGUACAAAAUUUUUUUAAGAUAUACUAUCACAUAAUCAUCCUUUCUAAAAAACGAGAGAGGAAAAAAAAAAGAAUGAUUUUUCUGUUUGUAUCUAAGUGGGAAUGAGAUAUAGAAUUUCGUUGAGAGUAUCCAACCCCAAAAGGACCAAUCCGGGAAGGCAUGUGUGGUAUUGAUGGGAGAUGAUAAGAUGGAAAUCAUAACCAUAGCCAUGUUCUCUCUGUGUCUUUCUAUCAUCUUCAAUUAAUUCAUGGACAUAAAUAUUUUAUUUAGUUUUUAUAUUUUGUUUAUUUAUAGUUUAUUUAGUUUCUAAAAUCCAAUUAGCUAGAUAUUUUAUUUGAUUUUAUUUUUAUAUUUAAGUAGUUGAGUUUUGGAAAGUUUUUAUAUUUUGUUAAUAGAAAUAAAAAUUUUAUAUUUUUUAUUAUUAGGAAUUUCUAUUUUGUUAAAUUGUAAGUAUCUAUCUCAAUAAGAGAUUAUUAAUAUUCAAAUGAAAGUGAUGAAAGAGAGUAAAUAUUUUAAUGCUCAAUUAUAUUUUAAUGUUAUUUUUUUUUACAUAAGGGUUUAUUUAUGUUUUCAAUUUUGAAGUUCCCUUUCCAAGUCCAUCAACAAAAGUAGUGUCCAACCUUAAAAUGGGCAUGUGUGGUAUUGACAGGAAAUGAUAAGAUGGAAAUCAUAACCAUAGCCAUAUUCUCUCUGUGUCUUUCUAUCCUCUUCAAUUAAUUCAUGGGCAUAGAUAUUUUAUUUAGUUUUUAUAUUUAGUUUAUUUAUAGUUUAUUUAGUUUCUAAAAUCCAAUUAGCUAGAUAUUUUAUUUGAUUUUGUUUUUAUAUUUAAGUAGUUGAGUUUUGGAAAGUUUUUAUAUUUUGUUAAUAGAAAUAGAUAUGAGGACUUAAAGGGUUUAUAUUUAGGUAGUACUUGAGCCAAGGAAAAUGAUAGUCCACUAUCUUGACCCUAUGCAUCACAAACCAUGUGAGGACUUAAAGGAUAUCGUAAACAUGUAAGUUCUUCCUAUUAUUUUUCAUAGUAUUAUUUUUAAAUAAAAAAAAAUACAUUCACCUCAAACACAUUUUUUAUUAUUAUUUAUAUAUAUUAAAACAUAUAACAUUUACCUAUUUUAAAAAUGUACCCAUUGAACUUAUUUACAUAGGGCUCUUCGAAUAUUUGCAAAGAAAACAUCUAAGAGGGAGCCAUCUUAGCAACUAGUGCAGGUGACAUCCAAAAAUUUUUCUUUACACAUUAGCUUAUGCAUUUGCACCAUUUAUAUAUGUGAGUACUAAUGUUAUUUUAUAAUUGAUCGAUUAGUGUCCAAGACAAGGAAGGUUCGAAUGUGGCUACUUUGUUAUGAGAUUCAUUAAAGAGAUAAUUUUUUAUCCUACAAUUAUUGCUUCAAAGGUAUUACUUAUUUAAUGAAUUGUACAUAGUUUUAGGCUUCCAAAUGUUAUGCAUUUUAAUGUUAUUUUCUUAUUUGAUUUCAGUUUGGUAAUAAAAAAAAAAACAUAUUCUCAAGUAGAAUUCAAUGAAAUUAUAGGAGAAUGGGCUAUUUUUGUGCUACAACUAAUCAUGAAUCAUGUUUGAUGCAUCAUGAUCACCAUGCAUGGUAUACACUCUUGGGAGGGUGAAAUGGAGAAUAAAAAGAAAGAAGAAGGCAACAAGAUUUUGGGUUUUUAAAUGCAACUCUUAUGUCAUACGUUGUAGGACAUAAACGUUACUUUAAUUGCAACUGAGAAAUUUAGAUUUUUAGAUAGGACUUCUAUGUCAUUUUAUGGUUAGCCGGUUUUAUGCUUAUGAAAUGGAGGUAUACAUGAAUCUUGGGAUCUUUAACAUUUCUAAAUCAUGUUUUGGUAUGUAUUCACUCUUCUUUUUUAGUUUUGAUGGGUUUGAUAUGUUGGACGUACUAUCCUUUUGUGAACAUUUGAUAUACAAAUAUUAUUAGAUGAUUAAUGUAUUA